rnacentral:rRNA from 1 species
UAGGACUCUCGGCAAUGGAUAUCUUGGCUCUUGCAUCGAUGAAGAACGCAACGAAAUGCGAUACGUGGUGCGAAUUGCAGAAUCCCGUGAACCAUCGAGUUUUUGAACGCAAGUUGCGCCUGAGGCCAACUGGCCAAGGGCACGUCCGCCU